rnacentral:ribozyme from 1 species
ACCUGAUGGAUGCGUAGGCAUGCAUAUUGUGUGAAUAUUCUCUCUCUUUUUUUUUUUUUUUUUUUUUUUUCCUUUUUUAU